GCCGUAAAACCCCCAAUUUCUAAGGUUGACCUCGGAUCAGGUAGGAAUACCCG
rnacentral:rRNA from 1 species